rnacentral:rRNA from 1 species
AGGGGAAUUUUGCACAAUGGGGGAAACCCUGAUGCAGCGACGCCGCGUGAUUUAGAAGGCCUUCGGGUUGUAAAAAUCUUUUCUAUGGGAAGAAAGUGACAGUACCAUAGGAAUAAGGACCGGCUAAUCACGUGCCAGCAGCCGCGGUAAUACGUAAGGUCCGAGCGUUGUCCGGAAUCAUUGGGCGUAAAGGGUACGUAGGCGGGUAAGCAAGUUAGAAGUGAAAUCCUAUAGCUCAACUAUAGUAAGCUUUUCAAACUGCUCAUCUUGAGGUAUGGAAGUGAAAGUGGAAUUCCUAGUGUGGCGGUGAGAUGCGCUGAUAUUAGGAGGAAUACCGGUGGCGCAGAGGACUUUCUGGCCAUAACCUGACACUGAGGUACGAAAGCGUGGGUAGCAAACAGG